GGGGAUAUAGCUCGGAUGGUAAAGCGCUUGCUUAGCAUGCGAGAGGUACGGGGAUCGAUACCCUGCAUCUCCA
rfam:Ipomoea nil DNA, scaffold: scaffold3227, cultivar: Tokyo-kokei standard.